rnacentral:rRNA from 1 species
UGCCCUAGUAACGGCGAGUGAAGCGGCAACAGCUCAAAUUUGAAAUCUGGCUUCGGCCCGAGUUGUAAUUUGUAGAGGAUGCUUUGGGCGCGGCUCUAACUGAGUUCCCUGGAACGGGACGCCACAGAGGGUGAGAGCCCCGUAUAGUUAGAUGCCUAGCCUAUGUAAAGCUCCUUCGACGAGUCGAGUAGUUUGGGAAUGCUGCUCUAAAUGGGAGGUAAAUUUCUUCUAAAGCUAAAUAUUGGCCAGAGACCGAUAGCGCACAAGUAGAGUGAUCGAAAGAUGAAAAGCACUUUGAAAAGAGGGUUAAAUAGCACGUGAAAUUGUUGAAAGGGAAGCGCUUGUGACCAGACUUGCGCCGGGCAGAUCAUCCGGUGUUCUCACCGGUGCACUCUGCCCGGCUCAGGCCAGCAUCGGUUCUCGUGGGGGGAUAAAGGUCCCGGGAACGUAGCUCCUCCGGGAGUGUUAUAGCCCGGGGCGUAAUGCCCUCGUGGGGACCGAGGUUCGCGCAUCUGCAAGGAUGCUGGCGUAAUGGUCAUCAGCGACCCGUCUUGAAACACGGACCAAGGAGUCAAGGUUUUGCGCGAGUGUUUGGGUGUAAAACCCGCACGCGUAAUGAAAGUGAACGUAGGUGAGAGCUUCGGCGCAUCAUCGACCGAUCCUGAUGUAUUCGGAUGGAUUUGAGUAAGAGCGUUAAGCCUUGGACCCGAAAGAUGGUGAACUAUGCUUGGAUAGGGUGAAGCCAGAGGAAACUCUGGUGGAGGCUCGCAGCGGUUCUGACGUGCAAAUCGAUCGUCAAAUCUGAGCAUGG